rnacentral:rRNA from 1 species
AAAUUGAAGAGUUUGAUCAUGGCUCAGAUUGAACGCUGGCGGCAGGCCUAACACAUGCAAGUCGAACGGUAGCACAGAGAGCUUGCUCUCGGGUGACGAGUGGCGGACGGGUGAGUAAUGUCUGGGAAACUGCCUGAUGGAGGGGGAUAACUACUGGAAACGGUGGCUAAUACCGCAUAACGUCGCAAGACCAAAGAGGGGGACCUUCGGGCCUCUUGCCAUCAGAUGUGCCCAGAUGGGAUUAGCUUGUUGGUGAGGUAACGGCUCACCAAGGCGACGAUCCCUAGCUGGUCUGAGAGGAUGACCAGCCACACUGGAACUGAGACACGGUCCAGACUCCUAUUACUGGGCGUAAAGCGCACGCAGGCGGUCUGUCAAGUCGGAUGUGAAAUCCCCGGGCUCAACCUGGGAACUGCAUUCGAAACUGGCAGGCUUGAGUCUUGUAGAGGGGGGUAGAAUUCCAGGUGUAGCGGUGAAAUGCGUAGAGAUCUGGAGGAAUACCGGUGGCGAAGGCGGCCCCCUGGACAAAGACUGACGCUCAGGUGCGAAAGCGUGGGGAGCAAACAGGAUUAGAUACCCUGGUAGUCCACGCCGUAAACGAUGUCUACUUGGAGGUUGUGCCCUUGAGGCGUGGCUUCCGGAGCUAACGCGUUAAGUAGACCGCCUGGGGAGUACGGCCGCAAGGUUAAAACUCAAAUGAAUUGACGGGGGCCCGCACAAGCGGUGGAGCAUGUGGUUUAAUUCGAUGCAACGCGAAGAACCUUACCUGGUCUUGACAUCCACAGAACUUUCCAGAGAUGGAYUGGUGCCUUCGGGAACUGUGAGACAGGUGCUGCAUGGCUGUCGUCAGCUCGUGUUGUGAAAUGUUGGGUUAAGUCCCGCAACGAGCGCAACCCUUAUCCUUUGUUGCCAGCGRUUAGGYCGGGAACUCAAAGGAGACUGCCAGUGAUAAACUGGAGGAAGGUGGGGAUGACGUCAAGUCAUCAUGGCCCUUACGACCAGGGCUACACACGUGCUACAAUGGCGCAUACAAAGAGAAGCGACCUCGCGAGAGCAAGCGGACCUCAUAAAGUGCGUCGUAGUCCGGAUUGGAGUCUGCAACUCGACUCCAUGAAGUCGGAAUCGCUAGUAAUCGUGGAUCAGAAUGCCACGGUGAAUACGUUCCCGGGCCUUGUACACACCGCCCGUCACACCAUGGGAGUGGGUUGCAAAAGAAGUAGGUAGCUUAACCUUCGGGAGGGCGCUUACCACUUUGUGAUUCAUGACUGGGGUGAAGUCGUAACAAGGUAACCGUAGGGGAACCUGCGGUUGGAUCACCUCCUUA